ensembl:lncRNA
AUGGUAUGGCCUAGGUUUUCUUCUAGGGUUUUUAUGGUUUUAGGUCUAACAUUUAAGUCUCUAAUCCAUUUAUUGCAUGAAUUGACCUCUAAUGUCCAGUUUCUUUCCUUUAGGUUACUUUGUCUAAUUCAGUUUAUGUACUCGUUCACUCAUUCAUUUAUUCAUUCAUUUAUCCAUUCAGCAUGCACGUAUUCAACAAGGUGCAGAACAAGGUCCAGACCUCUUUGCUAGCUGGGUCAUCAAGCACAUCCCAUAGCUCUAGUUAAGCUGUGAUUGUCCUUUGUUUUUAAAAAAUCAACAUAGACAAAAAUUCCAUAGCACAAUGUCCAGCAAGAAUGGGUCUGUAAUGCCAAUUACGUGUACCUUUAUACAUGCAGAAUGAAGAAUCAUUCUUAGUUUCCCUGGAUAUAGUUUUAAAAAAGUAGUGAAUAUAUUUUCUGAUUUCCAGUUAAUUUUUUAAGAGUGGUAAAUCUAUAUUUAUAUAUUGAUGAGCAGCACUAGGAAAUAAAAGUAAGUUGCCUAUGGUAUUAUACUUUUAAAUGGCACUAUCAUAGGUAUUAUAGCCAGUCCUUUUAAAUCUAAAUCUAAGCUUUUAGCCUAUGAUAAACUAAGCAGACUUAAAGCAAAGAAAAUGAUUCAUUUUGGUGCAGAUCUUCCUAUCUAUUAGAUUAUCAUUCCCUCCCAAAAAAGGAGACAGAUGUCACCCUGACCAGGCUUUCUACAGAACAAAAGAAUUUACAGGUUUGAUGGUGCAAAUGAAACUUGAAACUAUCAUAAAAGAUGAAAAUGUCCUCUCCAUAUAAGAAAUCAAAUUGAAAAUAACAUGGAGCAAAAGGGCACGAGAGGAACAUGCUCUCAUUAUUAGAUACUGCAAGUCAGAAAGCCUAAGAGCUUCCCUAGGCACAGCCUGUCACUCAGUCUGUACAUCUGUACAAUGGAGAUAAACAACGGCUCCUUUUCUUGUCAUAGAGGUGGUAGGAUUAAUAAAACCAAGCUAGGAAUGCAUUUCAAAACGCACAGAUGAAGCAUAAUACAAAUCAAGAGUAAAGACUGCUAUUCAGAAAUGUUCUUUCAAAUAUUCCUCAGACUUGGGCAGAUUUCUCUAGACGCUUAAGGCUUUGUCCACACGUGUAAGAGUUUCAAAGGCCUCUGUGGCAAAAAAAAAAAAAAAAAAAAAAAAAAAAAAAUUCAUUGUUUGAACUGUAGAACAGAAUAAGACCUCAAACCUUUGCUGACUGUCCACAGUGCUGUUUCAGAUGCCAUACAGUAUACAAAACAAAAAGGUAAGAGUCUCUUUAGACUAACAUCACAGAAGCUAGAGGAGGAAACAAGAGUGCUGGAUUAAAAUAUAGCAAUCAAAAAUUCUAUUUUGAUUUUCUAUUUCUUAUUGCUGUCCUUGGAAAAUCAUUUACCCCUCCUCUCCCUCUGCAGUGGGUAGAAAACUGGGCUAGGUUUAGGAGGCCUGGGUUAACACCUAGAUUCCGCCACGCAAAGGCUCUGAACCCUCAUUUUUAAAAUAUGUACUGUGAUUCCUAUAACAGACUAUUAAAGAGAUGACAAAAAUUACCAUAAAAAUACUGUCAAUGGCAAGCAUUCAACGUAAGAGAUUAUUAGCAGAAAGUUGUUCUAUCUAUUGACUUCUAACUUCAUAAAAAUUACACAGAAAUCAUUCUGUUACCAUUUAAAGACAAAAGCCUUGGUCUCACAAAAUAAAUAAGGUAGUCAACUUCCCCACAGAAAUCCACAGUACGAAUUCUUGAGAAAUGGCAUUACAGGCACAGUUUGUUAGGCAGAUGUAAUACAUGGUCCUGGAAGUCUGUAGUCAGAAGAAAGGGAUGAAAUGGUCAUCUCGUCCACUCCAUUAUGUGGCAAAAGAAAGAUAUGCAAACAGAUGCCAACUCCAUAAAUGAACAGACAAAUGACAUAGUUAGGGAGUGUAGCAAGGACAGUAGGUCAAACAUUCACACAGAUGGAAACACUGGCAGUGGCAGCAGCAGCAGCGGCAGCCACCUCAGACCUAAAGAACAAUGACAAAUAUAACUAAAGGAAUAAAUGAAGUUGGAAUACCGAGGUGCCACUGGAUGAUCGUGAUAUUGUCUGUGAGUACAUAACACACUAAUCAAAUCUAGAACGACUGCUCUCUAAACCAUAAAUGUUUUUCUGAAGCUGCAGAAACAGAAAGCAGCUGUGUGCUUCUGUGAUAAGCCCUCCAGAUAGAAAGCAGGCCAAGAAGCCCACAGAGAUAGGAUGAAGGGACUGAUGGUGGAGAAGGCAAGAAAGUGGUUCUGCCUUCACUCCACUGUGGCUCAGCAACAGCCCAAUAUGAUAUAAUAAUCUUUACAUGCAUAGCACCUUUCUUACAGGGAAGAAAAAGCAAUUUCGAGGCAUUACCUCAUUGCUCUUCCUCACACCCCCGGGGAAUAGGUAGCAAGUAUUAUCCAAUUUUGCAGGCAGUGAAAGUGAGGUUGUGAUUGGCUGAGUGUCUUGGUAAAGGUUAGAGAGCAAGUCUGUGCUGUUGCCAAGAUUAGAGCCAGUUCUUCUGCUUCGCUUUGCAAUACUUAGUACUUAAACACACUUUAAAACUCAUUAAAAUGGCAAGGAAAUGUGCUCACAGAAUAAUAUCAGUAACAAAACGAAAAAAGGAAGGAAAACUUCACAUUCAAUACUAUUUUUACCUGUGUAAAAUACAUAUGUUUAUAAAAUUGAACUUACAGGCAGCCAAUAUUAGCAGCAGUAACAUCUGGAUUGUAGGAUAAAUGGUGACUGGUGUUUUUUUUUUUUUUUUCCUUCAUCGCAUUCUGUAUUUUCCAAAUUCUAUGUUAUGAGCAAUCACAUUUUUGAUGAGAAAAACAAUUCAAAGUGUAAAAUUCAUUAACAGUGCUUUAUAGAUCACAAAAGUGUGAACGUAUCUGACGUAUCUGUAGGUCAGAAAAAAAUGUAAGUGUUUCUGUACUAGAUAUGAUAGUUGUUAAUAAAAUAAAAGAAAAAUAUAUCUACUGUAUUCUCUUUUGCUUCCAAACUUGCUCACACUACAUACACCCUCCCUACUAAUCAGUAAUACAUGGUCGCUACUAAAUUAAGACUGAACUUCUGAGCCCAACAUGUAGCCUAGGAUAUGAUCACAAUGAACUUGUCAGCUUGCUCUUUGACUCGAUUCUUAACUACUCUAUGCAUGUUCUUUCCUUCAAAAAUCAUCUCAUUUGUUGGGGGGAAAGACAGUCUUUUCUACAAAUGGUGCUGGGAAACCUGGAUAUUCACAUGCAAAAAAAAAAAAAAAUCAAGUUGUACCCUUACCUUACACGCUAUAUAAAAGUUAACUCAAAAUAGAUCAAAGAUCUAAAUGUAAGAGCCAAAACUAUAGGACUCUUAGAAGAAAACAUAGAAGAAAAGCAUAAUGACAAUGGAUUUGGCAAUGAUUUUUAAAAUAUGACACUGAAAACACAGAGAACAAAAGAAAAAAUAAGUCGGAUUACAGAAAAUUAAAAAUUUUUUUUGCACAAAGGACACUAUUAACAAGGUAAAGGUAUCCCACAGAGUGGGAGAAAAUAUUUGCAAAUCAUAUGUCCAAUAAAGGCUUAAUGCCAGAAAUAUAUGAAGAACUCUUACAACUUGACGACAGCAACAAAAAAAAAUUUUUUAAUGGGCAAAAGACUUGAACAGAUGUUUUUCCAAAUAAGAUAUAUAAUGCCCAAUAGGCACACAAAAAGAUGCUCUGGAAUUUCAUUAGGGAAUUUCAAGCCAAAACCACCAUGAGGCAUCACUU